AUUGAACGCUGGCGGCAUGCUUUACACAUGCAAGUCGAACGGUAACAGGCCGCAAGGUGCUGACGAGUGGCGAACGGGUGGGUAAUGCAUCGGAACGUGCCCAGUCGUGGGGGAUAACUACUCGAGAGAGUAGCUAAUACCGCAUACGAUCUAUGGAUGAAAGCGGGGGACCGUAAGGCCUCGCGCGAUUGGAGCGGCCGAUGUCAGAUUAGGUAGUUGGUGGGGUAAAGGCUCACCAAGCCAACGAUCUGUAGCUGGUCUGAGAGGACGACCCGCCACACUGGGACUGAGACACGGCCCAGACUCCUACGGGAGGCAGCAGUGGGGAAUUUUGGACAAUGGGCGCAAGCCUGAUCCAGCAAUGCCGCGUGCAGGAAGAAGGCCUUCGGGUUGUAAACUGCUUUUGUACGGAACGAAACGGCUCUGGUUAAUACCCGGGGCUAAUGACGGUACCGUAAGAAUAAGCACCGGCUAACUACGUG
rnacentral:rRNA from 1 species